UUGGACUUACGUCAGACUCCAACAAGCAAACAAGACACAGGAAACCAACUGCCAAUCGCUGGACUUACGUCAGAAUCCAAACACACACAAAGGGUUGAAAAAGAAAAAGGGCGCCCGGAGAGAUCAGCUCAUCUCCUGCCUACGUACCUCAUCUGGUAUGAGGAUCAGGGCGACGUAGUUCCCCUACGCAGGGAAAGAAAUUUUGUCCUAACCAGAGAC
rnacentral:lncRNA from 1 species